AGCGAACGCUGGCGGUAGGCCUAACACAUGCAAGUCGAACGGCAGCACAGUAAGUGCUUGCUCUUACGGGUGGCGAGUGGCGGACGGGUGAGGAAUACAUCGGAAUCUACUUUUUCGUGGGGAUUACGUAGGGAAACUUACGCUAAUACCGCAUACGACCUACGGGUGAAAGCAGGGGGUCUUCGUACCUUGCGCGAUUGAAUGAGCCGAUGUAGGAUUAGCUUGUUGGCGGGGUAAAGGCCCACCAAGGCGACGAUUCGUAGCUAGUCUGAGAGGAUGAUCAGCCACUGUGGAGCUGAGACGCGGUCCAGACUCCGACGUGAGGCAGCAGUGGGGAAUAUAGGACAAUGGGCGGAAGCCUGAACCAGCCAUACCGCGUGGGUGAAGAAGGCCUUCGGGUUGUAAGGCCGUUUUGUUGGGAAAGAAAAGCAGCAGGUUAAUACCCCGCUGUUCUGACGGUACGCGAAGAAUAGGCACGGGCAAACUUCUU
rnacentral:rRNA from 1 species